GCGCUUGCUUUGGUAGCACAUAUACUAAAAUUGGAACGAUACAGAGAAGAUUAGCACAGCCCCUGCGCAAGGAUCACCUCUUCCCUGGUGUCCUUCGUGCUUUUU